AAAAUGAACAGGAAAAAUGAUCUCACUUUACAGAUGAGGAAACCAAAAGAGGAAAUGAUAAAUAAAUUGCUCACAUAGAACUGGUUAUUGCCACGGAAAGAACCAGAACUCUUGCCUUCUGAUGUCUUGUUCCAUUGCUACACUGUGGUGUUCAUGAAUAAAUUUACUUCAUGUAGUGUUGUAGAGAUGGAGAGCAAGAAAGACUCCAGCUUCUGAUGAGACAAAGAAAAUCUUCCUUAACCAUGGGUGCAAUGGACGGAUACAAAGAGAAGUCAGAAGUCUGCAACCUGGAAGAGGCCCUUACCAGGACCCAACUAGAGUGGCACCCUUACCUCAGACUUUCAGCCUCCAAAAUUGUGAGAGAGAAGUUUCGGUUGUUGGGUACAAAUUGAUCUGACUUGAUUUGUCAGAGAGCCAGAACUGCAGGCAAAUAGACGCCGGAGAAAUCAACCAAUCUUUUAAGCCAACAGUAAUUGUUCCUCCUGUCGGCUGGCUAAAUGACUUGUAUCUGGAGGAGAUGCUCAGAAUGAAUCAGAAUGCCUGAGGUGACAGAAACGCAGAGCAUCCCACAGUGGGGUCUCUCAGAAAGAGGGGCUAGAGCAGACAGAACGCUUAGAGGUUGCAAUGGGCAAGAGAGCGGGAAGGAAAGCGACGACAGAGAGCUGCCAGGGAGUCUAAGAGGCUGCAUCCUUCAGGCGGCGCGAGAAAGGGUCUUCAGCUCCAGAUCAAGAUUCCGAAGAGUUAAAUAUUACUGCGCAGCCCGACCUGGAUGGGAUUUGCUUCUGGGUACAAAACGGGACACUGAUCAAAAUCAACUUGGACAAGUGACAAGACUGAGUCUGAUGAUUGUGGAUGUCUUUUAAGGUCGUUGGAGGGGAGAGGAUGGGAGGCGGUGUGCUCAGGGGUAGGUGGAGGGAAGCAUCAAAUCCAGGGAUAUAAAGGGACACGGAGCCGGGAAACAGAGGACAAAAUGCGUGGGGAAAGAGAGAGAGGAAGAGUUGAAGAAAAGUAAGGGGAAAGUAGGGACAGGGUUAAGGGGAGAGAGGAGGAUAAGAGAGAAGUGAGGGCGGCUAGGAGGGAUUAAAAAGGGAAAGGGGAUCGCCGGAGAGAAGGGCGGACGGCUGGCUCGGGAGGUGGGGAGGCGGCGAGGGGAGCGAGCGGGCGGGGGGCGCAGAGAGCGGCGAGGGGGCUGGAGAGGAG
rnacentral:lncRNA from 1 species